CCAGAGCAGCCGAGUCUCACGUGAGCACUGGUGCGGGCUGCUUCCUGUCUCCCGCAGACCUGGCCUUCAGGCUGUUCCCAAGCCAAUGAACCCCAUGAACCCCAUGAAACCUGCCCUGCCCCCCGCACCACACAGUGAUGGUCCAUUCGCAUAUGAGGCGGUGCCUUGGCAACAGAGUGCCACUCAGCCAGCAGGAUCGCUGUCUGUGGUCACAACCGUGUGGGGAGUCGGCAACGCAGCACAGAGCCAGGUUUUGGGGAACCCCAUGGGCCCUGCAGGGAGCCCCCCCGGCAGCUCCGUGAUGCCCGGCAUGGCAGGUGGCAGCUCUGCCCUGAGCUCCCCACAGUGCCUUGGACAGCAGGCGUUCGGUGAGGGUGGUGCCAACAAGGGCUACGUGCCGCAAGGGGUGUAUGGCCGCGGGGGCUACCCCGGGGGCCCUGGCUUCACUACUGGGUAUGCGGGCGGCCCAGGGGGCCCGGGGAGCCUGGGCCUCCCCUCACACUCAGCACGGCCAUCCACUGACUUCACUCAAGCAGCGGCAGCUGCUGCAGUGGCUGCUGCUGCCGCCACGGCCACCGCCACAGCCACGGCCACUGUGGCCGCCCUCCAGGAGAAGCAGAGCCAGGAGCUGAGCCAGUACGGAGCGAUGGGGGCCGGACAGUCUUUUAACAGCCAGUUCUUGCAGCACAGUGGUCCCCGAGGGCCCAGCGUGCCCAGCAGCAUGAACCCGGCCAGCGUGGGAGGGCUGAUGGGCCCCUCCAGCAUGAGCCCCAUGGGCAUGAACCCCACCCGGGCAGCGGGCAUGGCGCCCCUCUAUUCAGGGCAGCGCCUGCCCCAGCAAGGGUACCCGGGCCCCCCCCAGGCCCAGCCGCUGCCCCGACAGGGUGUCAAGAGAGCCUACUCAGGCGAGGUGUACCCUGGGCAGCAGUACCUGCCAGGAGGCCAGUAUACGCCUGGUGCCACCCAGUAUGCCCCUGGCCCCGGGCAGCCCCCUGCCCCAUCCUCCUACCCUGGGCACAGGCUGCCCCUGCAGCAGGGCACAAGCGCAUCCCUGUCCACCGCCAGCCCUGCGGGACCACACUUCAAGCCUGCAGAACAGUUCAACGGGCAGGGUGCCAGCUUCAACGGGGGCAGCAUCAGCUACAGCCAGCCUGGCCUGAGUGGGCCCGCUCGUUCCAUCCCUGGCUACCCCAGCUCCCCACUGCCCGGGAGCCCCACGCCACCCAUGACCCCCGGCAGCAGCAUCCCCUACAUGUCUACCAGUCAGGAGGUCAAGUCUCCCUUCCUGCCUGACCUCAAGCCCAGUGUGAGCAACUUGCACCCAUCGCCGCCUGGCAGUGGCCCCUGUGACGAGCUGCGGCUGACCUUCCCCGUGAGGGACGGGGUGGUCCUGGAGCCCUUCCGCCUGCAGCACAACCUGGCGGUGAGCAACCAUGCCUUCCAGCUCCGAGACUCCGUCUACAAGACCCUGAUGCUGAGGCCUGACUUGGAGCUGCAGUUCAAGUGCUACCACCACGAGGACCGGCAGAUGAACACCAACUGGCCGGCCUCGGUGCAGGUCAGUGUCAACGCCACCCCACUCACCAUCGAGCGCGGCGACAACAAGACCUCCCACAAGCCCCUCUACCUGAAGCACGUGUGCCAGCCGGGCCGCAAUACCAUCCAAAUCACCGUCACCGCCUGCUGCUGCUCUCACCUCUUCGUGCUGCAACUGGUGCAUCGGCCGUCCGUCCGCUCCGUGCUGCAGGGCCUCCUCAAGAAGCGCCUCCUGCCCGCCGAGCACUGCAUCACCAAGAUAAAGCGGAACUUCAGCAGCGGAACCAUUCCUGGCACCCCAGGACCCAACGGAGAGGAUGGGGUGGAGCAGACAGCCAUCAAGGUGGCCCUCAAGUGCCCCAUCACCUUCCGCAGGAUCCAGCUCCCUGCCCGGGGCCACGACUGUCGCCACAUACAGUGCUUUGACCUGGAGUCCUAUUUACAGCUUAACUGUGAGCGAGGGACCUGGAGGUGCCCCGUGUGCAACAAGACGGCGUUGCUGGAGGGCCUAGAGGUGGACCAGUACAUGCUGGGCAUCCUUAUUUACAUUCAGAACUCUGACUAUGAGGAGAUCACCAUCGACCCCACGUGCAGCUGGAAGCCAGUGCCAGUGAAGCCUGACUUGCAUGUCAAGGAAGAGCCGGAUGGGCCGGUGCUGAAGCGCUGCCGCACUGUGAGCCCUGCCCACAUGCUCAUGCCCAGUGUGAUGGAGAUGAUCGCCGCCCUGGGCCCGGGUGCCACACCCUUCACCCCCCUGCAGCCCCCCUCAGCCCCGGCCCCUGGCGACUACUCCAGCCAGGCCUCCUGGCAGUGGCAUGACCACUUCCCCCAGCAGCAGCGAGAAGAAAUGCCCUUUCCCAAGUAGCAACUUCAUAAAGGCCAACAUCCUCUGGGCGAGCGCAGUGAGUCCCGCCCAUGCUGUGGCCAGGCUGCCCUCGUGGCUCAGCCAGCAUGAGCCCCCUGCCCUCACCUGGACCUGGCUCUCCUCUCUCAGGUUCCAGCUUCCUGGGACCCGGGACCUUCCCCGAAUCCUUCCCACCCACCACACCCAGCACCCCAACCCUGACUGAGUUCACCCCAGGGCCACCGCCUGUCUCCUAUCAGUCCGACAUUCCCAGCAACCUCUUGACGCCAGAGAAGUCCGGCCCCUGCCUCCCAGGCCAGAUGGCACCAGCAGGUCACCUGGACCCAGCCCAUAACCCUGGGCCCCCGGGGCUGCACGCCCCUAACCUUGGAGGCCCCCCAGGGCCCCAGCUGCACCAUCCAAACCCUCCCCCAACAUCCCGGCCAGCUCUGGGCCCAGUGAACUCGGGGCCUCUCAGCGAGCUGGCCUUCAGUGCUGCCACAGGCAUGAUGGGGCACCCUGUGUCUGGGGCAGGGGAGGCCCCGGAACCGGCUCUGGACCUGCUUCCAGAACUGACUAACCCCGAUGAGCUGCUGUCCUACCUGGGCCCACCCGACCUCCCCACAAACAGCAACGAUGACCUGCUUUCUCUCUUCGAGAACAACUGAUCUUGUUUGUCAACCACCUGGCUGGCAGGGAUGUGUCCACCGAUGUCUCGCACCCUUCUUUCCAGCCCAGCCCCACCUGACAACAGCGGCCCUCCCCACGUGUACACCUGGAUCUGGGACCCGCCCCUGACACCUGGCUGCCGGAGGCCGCACCGCACUGGCUGGGAAGGGAGCCCUGGGGCAGGGUUCUCACUGGCCCGGUUUGCAGCUGCAGAACUGUUUUUGAGGAGAUGCCCAGCCCUGUCCCCAUCUGUGCCAGCCCAUGCUUGUCCAGCCCUGCCUGGUUCAUGCAUACCCACCACCCCUGAACUCCAGCCUCACCCAGGCCCCCCACCCCGCCUGCUCCCACCAGCCUGCAUCUUGUCCAGCGUUGACCUUUCUGUUUCAGUGACCCGUUUGGCCCUAGGCCAGCAAGGAGUGGGUUACUCUGUCCUGGGGCCUGGUCUUGCCCAACUCGUUAUGGCAGAGGCUUCAGGCUGAGGCUGGGGGUGGGGGGCUCUAAAGCACAACAGUGUACAUAGUGUAGAAACACUAAUAGAUGUAGGGUGGCUGAUUCCUCUGUGCAGGUUGGGUCUCCGUGGGCUCCUGUCUUCACCAUGUGCAGGCCGGGAGCGGUGGGGGGCAACAGGCUCCCUUCUGCUGUUGGUUGGGCUCAGACUCGACCCCAUGUGCAGAUUCUCCAGCAGCCUGUUCCCCCAAAGUUCCCCGUUUCUGUAAGAGUGAAGAAUUGGUCCCACAGUGUUUUUUAAGUCCACCUCUCCUCCCACGUCCACCCUGGGGCCAUGCCAGGUGGGGGAGGAGGGGCCACCACACUCUAGGUGCAGGGCCGAGUCGUGUCCCCUGUCUGCCUGUCUCUAUUAAAGGACUCCCUCGUGGUGGGCCUGGCAAGUC